UCAGAUUAAAAGAUAAUAAAUGACGACCUCGCUCUAAAAAAAUUGUAGACAUUAUAAACUCCAGCUGUUUAUAAAAGGCAACAAGUGGACGAAUCGGAGCGGACGUUUGUUCCGCGGGAAAACAUGUGGUCUUCCGUACUAUUGGCAGAAGUGCAACUAGGUUAAAAACGGAAAGUCAGCCGCCGUGCUCGGGAACAUGUCAAG